GAUGAAGAACGCAGCGAAAUGCGACAAGUAAUGUGAAUUGCAGAAUUCAGUGAAUCAUCGAAUCUUUGAACGCACAUUGCGCCCAUUAGUAUUCUAGUGGGCAUGCCUGUUCGAGCGUCAUUAAGUCCACUUAAGCCCUGCUUAGUGUUGGGAGACUGCUCCAGCGGUGCUACCCUGUAGCUACCCUGCAGCUCCUCAAAGACAGCGGCGGAGUUGUGGUAUCCUCUGAGCUUAGUAACUUGUUCUAGCUUUCGAGUACACCACUUCCCCUGCCGUAAAACCCUUAAUUUUUAAUGGUUGACCUCGGAUCAGGUAGGAAUACCCGCUGAACUUAAGCAUAUCAAUAAGCGGAGGA
rnacentral:misc_RNA from 1 species